CAGUGAUGCACACUCACGCACGCGAGGUUAUCCCUGGGCUACAACGCCACAUGGAAGUAAACAAGGGCGCGCUCACUGCAUUUAGAAGUCAGUAUUUGUAACCUGCCUAAUGUCUGCAUGUGUGUCGGUUGGUGUAACCAGCAGCAGAUGCACUCCCACACCCGUUGGCAAGAAAGGAAGUGCAUAAAGCAGUGGUGGGGUUGUUCAUGGCUGGUCGUCUGCUGGCUGGGAACUGACAAAAGUCCCACACGCGCGGACCCACGCGCACAAUAGCGCGCACACACACACACACACAUACAAACAAACACCUGUACAUAUUUCAAAAGU